rnacentral:rRNA from 1 species
UAGGGAAUUUUUCACAAUGAGCGAAAGCUUGAUGGAGCAAUGCCGCGUGAACGAUGAAGGUCUUUAGGAUUGUAAAGUUCUUUUAUUUGGGAAGAAUGACUUUAGCAGGUAAUGGCUAGAGUUUGACUGUACCAUUUUGAAUAAGUGACGACUAACUAUGUGCCAGCAGUCGCGGUAAUACAUAGGUCGCAAGCGUUAUCCGGAUUUAUUGGGCGUAAAGCAAGCGCAGGCGGAUUGAAAAGUCUGGUGUUAAAGGCAGCUGCUUAACAGUUGUAUGCAUUGGAAACUAUUAAUCUAGAGUGUGGUAGGGAGUUUUGGAAUUUCAUGUGGAGCGGUGAAAUGCGUAGAUAUAUGAAGGAACACCAGUGGCGAAGGCGAAAACUUAGGCCAUUACUGACGCUUAGGCUUGAAAGUGUGGGGAGCAAAUAGGAUUAGAUACCCUAGUAGUCCACACCGUAAACGAUAGAUACUAGCUGUCGGGGCGAUCCCCUCGGUAGUGAAGUUAACACAUUAAGUAUCUCGCCUGGGUAGUACAUUCGCAAGAAUG